CCUACGGGAGGCAGCAGUGGGGAAUAUUGCACAAUGGGGGAAACCCUGAUGCAGCGACGCCGCGUGAGUGAAGAAGUAUUUCGUUACGUAAAGCUCUAUCAGCAGGGAAGAAAAUGACGGUACCUGAGUAAGAAGCCCCGGCUAACUACGUGCCAGCAGCCGCGGUAAUACGUAGGGGGCAAGCGUUAUCCGGAUUUACUGGGUGUAAAGGGAGCGUAGACGGCAGUGCAAGUCUGGAGUGAAAGGCGGGGGCGCAACCCCGGGACUGCUCUGGAAACUGUAAGGCUGGAGUGCAGGAGAGGUAAGUGGAAUUCCUAGUGUAGCGGUGAAAUGCGUAGAUAUCAGGAGGAACACCAGCGGCGAAGGCGGCUUACUGGACUGUAACUGACGUUGAGGCUCGAAGGCGUGGGGAGCAAACAGGAUUAGAUACCCGAGUAGUC
rnacentral:rRNA from 1 species